rnacentral:rRNA from 1 species
UACGGAGGGUGCGAGCGUUAAUCGGAAUGACUGGGCGUAAAGGGUGCGUAGGCGGUUUGAUAAGUUAGGUGUGAAAUACCCGGGCUUAACCUGGGAAGGUCACUUAAGACUGUCAGACUGGAGUAUAGGAGAGGGUAGUGGAAUUUCCGGUGUAGCGGUGAAAUGCGUAGAGAUCGGAAGGAACACCAGUGGCGAAGGCGGCUACCUGGCCUAAUACUGACGCUGAGGCACGAAAGCAUGGGGAGCAAAC